CGGCCGGCAGCUGAGUGGCAGCGCCCCCCCCCCACCCGGCACCUUGUGCAGCGCCGAGCACAGCCGGAGCCUGCGGGCGUCACCAUCCCCACUUCACACCCCCGCCCCUCAGCGCCGGCCCUCCCCUGGCUGCUGCCGCGGCCCCGCGCCGGAGCGGGAACUGGGGGCCGGCGGGGGCGUCCCCCCCCCGGGAGCGCGGCCCGCGGCCGGCUCUGACUCGCUGCGCGGCCCCGGGCUGGGCGCUGGCCCCCCCGAAACUCGCCCCUCGGGGCUCCGGCCCGCCCCCGGGCCCGCGAGCUGCGCCGCCAAGCGCGGGGGCGGAGCUCGCCAGGGGCAUGGCCGGGCUCGCUGCUCCCGUGCCGCUCCCGUGCCCGUGAGCCGGGCGGCGGCAGGCGGAGGCCGGGGAGGUCCCGGGGCGGGCCUGGCUCUGCCGGGGACCGGGGAGGCGGCGCUGGCGGUUCGGGGAGCGCCCAGGCUCUGCCCGGCGGCGGCUGGCCCACGUCCACCGCCGCAGAAGGGCGCUCGCCGGCGGCUGGGGCGGGCCCGUGCUCCCCUAUGGGCUUGCCUGGCCAUCCACAUAUUGACCUUGCCGAGCGGAGUGUAACCCCGAGCCUGGCGGCGUCUGGCCGAGAGGAAUGCCUGGCGGCGCCGGUGUCCUCCUCUGAGUCCUGCGGCUUGGGGGCGGCCGGGGUCGAGGGGACCCGUUUUAGGUCGCUGCCGCCCGGCUCGGGCUGGGGGCGGCUCGGACUGCGUGGGACGAUGUACACCUUUGUGGCACGAGAUGAAAACAGCAGCAUCUAUGCUGAAGUGUCCAAAAUACUCCUGUCCACCGGCCAGUGGAAGAGGCUGAAAAGAGACAACCCCAGAUUUAACCUGAUGCUGGGGGAGAGGAACAGGCUGCCCUUCGGGAGACUGGGUCAUGAACCUGGACUUGUGCAGCUGGUAAAUUACUACAGGGGAGCUGACAAGCUUUGUCGCAAAGCUUCGUUAGUGAAGCUAAUCAAGACGAGCCCUGAGUUAUCAGAAUCUUGCACAUGGUUCCCAGAAUCAUAUAUGAUUUAUCCAACUAACCUAAAGACUCCAGUGGCUCCAGCGCAGAAUGGAAUUCGCCAUCUUAUAAACAACUCCAGGACGGAUGAAAGGGAAGUGUUCCUGGCCUCCUACAACAAGAGGAAGGAGAAUGGGGAGGGGAACGUGUGGAUAGCCAAAUCCUCGGCCGGUGCCAAAGGUGAAGGAAUUCUUAUUUCUUCAGAGGCUACUGAACUUCUGAACUUUAUAGAUGAUCAAGGACAAGUGCAUGUGAUUCAGAAAUACCUUGAAAAGCCUAUGCUGUUAGAGCCAGGCCAUCGCAAGUUUGAUAUUAGAAGCUGGGUUCUAGUGGAUCACCAAUAUAAUAUCUACCUCUACAGAGAAGGCGUUCUGCGGACCUCUUCAGAACCAUACAAUAGUGCUAAUUUCCAAGACAAAACCUGCCAUUUGACCAAUCACUGCAUACAGAAGGAAUAUUCUAAAAACUAUGGGAAGUAUGAAGAAGGGAAUGAAAUGUUUUUUGAGGAGUUCAAUCAGUAUUUGAUGAGUUCUUUGAACAUUACACUGGAAAGUAGCCUGUUAUUGCAGAUCAAACAAAUAAUAAGAAGCUGCCUUAUGUGUAUAGAGCCUGCAAUCAGCACCAAACACCUUCACUACCAGAGUUUCCAGCUCUUCGGCUUUGACUUCAUGGUAGAUGAGGAACUGAAGGUCUGGCUAAUCGAAGUCAAUGGGGCCCCUGCCUGUGCCCAAAAAUCAGUUUCUUCAGACUCUUCAAGAGCAAAUGUACCAUUGAAUGAAACUUUGUCUGUUGAAGUGUAAGAGAAGAACACCGAUGAGUAUGAUCCUGGAAGUGAGACUUUUUUGAUGCUGUCACCAAAAGGUUUUCUUACUACUGCAGAAUUAGUGGAGUCUACGCGUCUCAUGAUUUAGGGUGGAGUUCCGCUCUCAGGUGAACAUGAGAAAGUCCCACUGGCGUCAAUUUGAGCUGCACGUCUGUAUCUAAGUCCAGGAUUAAUACCUACCAUAGGAAUGGUUUGGAAACUUUAUGCAGAGCUUUGCCAAGGUAUAGUGGAUGUAGCCAUCUCUAGUGUCUUUCCCCUCAGUGACAUAGUGCAAAAGCAGAGCCAGCCAUCAAUAUUUAUGAAGCUGUGAUGACAAGACCAUCCUAGCGAGACACAUGGGAGAGCUGCCAUCUGUCGAUUCUGAGGGAAGGCUGUUGGAUCGUUGACUUUAGUAUCAUGCCAAAAAGGAGGAAAGAGAGACAACUUUUUGGAAAUUCACGAGGAAAAUAUAAAUAAAAGAAGGCUUCCAAGGAGAGUUCAGACAACUCUGCCUGUGUUUCACCAAACUAUGCUUUGGAAACAGCUCAUGUGACUUUAAUAACUGAAGCAAAUCUCUCUGGGAGAACAGCAAAAUAAUGUUUAAAAAAAACCAGGGAUACAAUAAUAUUGUAUUAUCUCGUCCUUUUCUAAAAAGAAACCUUUUUUCCUUUUUUUUAAUAAGGCAAUUUAAUGAAGAGUACCAUUGAUGUGGGUUUCUUGCUUCAUCACCUGCUGCAGUUUUAGUGCCUUAGCUCAGUCCCCAAUAGGUAACUCCUUUUUGUUCCUGCUCCAUUUGUGUAGAGGUGAAAAGUGGUCUUGUUUUGUGGAAUGUGUAAAAGAAGACAAAGUUAAUUUUAAAUCUGUUUUAAAAUCAGCUAGCGAAACACCCAGUAACGAUAUGGCAAAGGUGGCACCACUGAGGGUACUGUAUCUAAUGUGAUGAAGUAGCCUAGGGGUUUAAGGAGGUUUUAUUUACUUGUAUCCAUUGUCUAAUGAGAUUUGAAUCGGUUGUCUGUCAGUCUGACACAGUUGGAACCCCUAGAAAACAAGUACUCAGCCCCUCCCUCACCGAUCUGCAGUUUUUAGGGAGCCUAGGUUGACAUUCUUGUUGAGAGCGUUGCUGUAACAGAGUCUGACUUUCCUGGAAGGCUUGUUCAGAGGGGCAUUCAAAUUAUCUUAGUUCAGCUCUUCUUUCAGUUUUUAUGCUUUUAAUACCUUCGUUUUUGUUAACCAAAAGAACACCAAGGGACCCUGGCAGCCUCUUUAAGAUGCAUCUGAGGCUUGAAAAAAGAAGCCUUUCAACCCCACCAGUUGUUUCCCUUUCAACCCAACCAAUUUUCUCUCUCUCCAUUGGACAAACAUUGCAUUUUUUAGCACUUACAAGUCAGCACCACCAAAACAUGGCUGUGCUUUGUACCCCAAGCAUCAUCAGUCAGUAGAAAUAGGCUCACCUCUUGGGGAAAGCAUUUGAUGAUCAGCUGGUGCUGCUGUAGAACAGCAGGGAAACUCUUGUUGCAUAUUGUGUUAUAUUGGGAUAACCUUUUUUAAAAAAAAAAAAAAAAAUUUAGGUCAGUGAAUGUAGAAACUCACAUUUUUUAAGUAUAACCUAAAUAGAUAUAUGAAAUCCUGGGAACAUUCCCCAUGUCAUAAACAGCCCCUUUAAGUUACAAUUUUUAACCUAAAUAAGUUGGCUGUGUUUCUUUGUAGAACACAGUGGGGUCCCUAAUAGCAAACUGGGUACUAUAGAUCAUAAGUGUGUUCCGUAUUGCAAUGCAAUUGUGUUGGAAAUUUUCAGUAGGAAUAGAGAGGUGGAAUUUUAAAUUUAAUCUUAGUGUUUAAGAAGUAAUAAUCUGUGUCUGCAAAUGACUAAUACUAACAAGAUCCCCUUUUUCAAGGAAACCAGUAAGAUUUCUAUAAGCUAUUACGCGUUUUCAAUACUGAGCUGCUGCAGUUCUCCUACAUGCAUUGCAUGUUGCAUCCUAGCAUAUUUUAGUUCUAUGAUUAGAUUUUUUUUUCUACAUAUUUUAAAAGGUCAGUGAAAUGAGGCAGCUUCCUACCAAACAAGUGUGCAUGACUGAAUGAGAAGCAGAGUCUGAUCAAGAAAAGCAUGAGAGACUUGUUUAGAAGAAGGAUCUCUCUUGUGUGGUGCACAAUCCACACAGGAUGCUGUUGUGGAACACUGACAUCUGCACCUGAAUCAAAUCCAGCAAGAGUUCUGGCUCUGCUGGUCGGAUCAGAACUACGUUCUGUUGUCUCUGACAGUUGCUUUGGGUUGAGGAUACUUACAUUAAUGAGGGUGACCCAAGCAAAAGAAAAGUGGCUCCUGCUACCAAAAAAAAAAAAACACAUUUAGGAGAUUCCAAGCUUCUGAUUGGCUGAGUUUAAUAAGCAUUGAGUUAAGUAGUCUAAUUUUUCCCUCCAGUGAAAUGUCUGAACGCUCUUACACACGUACCUCGACUUACAGCUGAGAUUUCCCAUCUCUGAAUUGUUACCAGGGUAGAGCUCUGUAAAUGAAUGAAACUGUCACACUUUGCCAAGUCACUGGUGUUCAUAAAUCUUGGCUCUAUAGCAAAGGGAGAGACAGAAGCAUUUCUGAGAGGUGUACGGAACUUUAAAUCUCAUUGCUGGGGCGCACUGGGGGAGUUUCUGUUCCAUACCUUAAUUAUUUCGAUCCAGAACAGCUAGAUUUGGGGACGGACUCAGCCACUCAUCUUAAAAGUUUGUCUAUUUGAAAACUUUGGCCAGGUGGCUAUCAGAUUGUCACUUCUGCCAAAGCGCUUCAUACUCUUGCUGGCUUCAUUUAUUUACAGCAAGUAAAUAACUUACUUCACAACUCUUCACACCAUUGCUGCUUUUCUGCAGAUCUCUGCAAUCUAGCAUUGAAGCUGCAGAGGUCGUUCCAUUGGUGUGAGUUUUCUGCUGUAACGCCAGUUGAACAUCAUCUGUACAUCAAGCCAGACUGCAGGUGAGACAGGAAACAUCAGUGAAGCAGUUAAGAUUCCUUGACUAGCAUUCUUUCCUUAUAUCAGAUGGCAAAGAACAGGCCUUAUUCUAGGGCUUGUAUGGGGCUGCCUGAGCUCACUGUCAAGAGCCCAAUUACCUUGCUUGGCAGAGGGGCAGUGUAAGGCCAGGAAUUUUGUUUUGCAAAGGGAGUAGCCAGGUGAUUUGAGUUGGGUUUUCACAGCUGCAGGAAAAAAGGAAAAUUAAUUUUAAAAAUUAACUUGAAGUCUCCAUUACUGUGGAGGCCAGGAAGCCUAUGAGGGGGACAGACGGGGUUUGUACUGAAAUGAACCCACAGAAAGCCUCAGUGGGGAAUGUUGGAUAAUCCUAACUCAUGUGACUACAAACCUAAUAAGGACACGGGCGCUAUCAUUAAAACAUCAGUCAAUACUUGAAGCGUAUGCCCCCUUUAGUGUAAUCUGUCAUGAAUUCCCAGGUACUGGAGUUAUAUAUAGGGCUGUCAAAAUCCAAUGGCUAACAGAUUGCCACCAUCACCAUAAGAGGCUGCCCCUCUGAUACUUGAUAACAUAAGUGUGUUGCUGCUGUGCAAACUUCUCUUAAGCAGUAAGUGUGAAAUGAGCUCAAGUGUUGUAUAUAAAUAUCUGUGAAAAUUUGAUGGCAGAUGUAACGUGCAUUUGAACUAUAAAGUGGUUGAAAUAUUAUAUUCCAGAAGUUGACAAGAAAGACUGCUCUCACUGUGUGUACAGUGAGCUCACGUGUGUGUGGUGGGGGCAGAAGUUCCAAAAAUUGAUGUCUAAGUUAGGGUCCUGUGUCCAUAAGGGGCCUGAUUUUUCAAUAGAGCUGAGCUCCCAGCAGCUCUCAUUGAUUUCAUGAAGAAGCAAAAAAAGGCACAAGCCCAAAUUUUAAAAAAUUCUUUUUAGGUCACCUUUUAUUUCCAUUUCACUGAUAGCAGUAGUAGCUAAAUAGUGAAGUGCAAAUGAAAAGCCAUCUGGCUAAUACCAGUCAGUCAAAUGGAAAUCAAAGGUGACUUUAAUUGAAAGUGAUGAAUUUAAAACCUGGGUUUGCCCCCCUGGUUUCUUCCUGAUGUGUAUGAAGUGAGCCUGGAACCUGUGGUGAGGUUUGGCAUUGCGCGUGUUUUUACCUUUAGAAGUAGCAGGAAUGUCAGUCUGGUCUCAUUGGUCUUGCUGGAUGUUGGAGGACGUGUAUUUUGAGCUCUCAUUCAUUAACUCAUUACUCGAAGAGGGAAGGUGGUGUGGACUAUUUAAGGCCAUGGCUACAGUAGAAAAAAGGUGGGGAAGUGGUAAGCUUAUGUUAGCUACCCUGUGUUAAAAUCCUAGUACAGACAAAGUAAGCUGUAGCUUUACCACAUGUUAGCUGGUCAGAGUAACCCCCAGGUUACCCCCCAGAAUUUACCUGACCAGAAUGUAUUAAAACCACACCGUGCUUUGCCUGCACUCAGAUUUUAAUGUGUUAGCUAACAUGUUUCAACACGCAUUUUUCCCGGUGAAGACAAGGGCUGGCAAAGAUGUCCUUUAUUGAGAAUGUGUAUCAGACAUGGAAGUAAAAUAGGUAUGAACCAAAAAAAGAGUUUAAACUAAAACUCUCUCCCCUCUCAGCUUUCGCUCUUGUGAUACCCUCAUUUUACUAGCUGGUUAGCCAGUUAAGACUGGGCUGGAAUGUGUAAAAUAAGUUAGGGGAGGGGGGAUCUUAAAGGUCUUAGGCCUUUUUUACCUCAUAAAGAAGUGAAGAAAAGGCACAAGCCCUGAGGCAGUUGACAUUUUCUUCCUUUGCAGGUCGCCUUCAAGAAUUAGUAAAGGUUCAGCAGCUGUUCCUCUAGUGUGUUCAGUGUGCUCCUGUAGGGAACUUGUUGUAUAGGAUAUAUACAUAGAGGAGAACAUCUGCUUAGUGUGAGUCCAGCUAGCUGGGGCAGUAGAACCCUUCUCCAAACAUGCUCUUGUAAGCAUCUUGUUUGUGUGCUGUGCUCCUAGGGGAGACUGACAGAGCAAAGCCGUUAGCAUAGUGUGCGAGAUGGAUCAUGCUGAAGUGACUCCAGGCAGCCUCCUCCCACCCUGGUUUGAUGGUCCCUGGAUGAGCCUUGCAAUCCUGUAACAGUAAUCAUGGGACUAUUGUCAUUCAGGUGUGGGAAAGUCAGAGAGAGAGAUCUUACUUGUUGUCAGGAUGUGCAGUUUCAGUGGGGUGACCUGCUGAGCAGGUAGGGACUGUCAUCUGUGCCCAUCAUUUUACAGUGGGAGGAAAGCCACACAGACUCCCCCGCUGUCAAGCUACCUGAGAGAACCAUCCCAGUGCAGUUAGCUGGGAUGAGAUUGGGAUAAUCUUAAUCCUUGACAGCCCCAGUGUUUAUUGCAGAGAUUAACUGAACGAACAGGCCACACACGCACGCACACACACACACACACCUGCUCCCCCUUGUUAUACAGUAAUGACCAAGUACUGCAUUUACAAUGGCACUGUACGGCAGUGUUCUGGACCAUUUCUGUAUCAGUCUGUAGUCCUGUCAUUGAUAGGUACUGGGUGAUGACAAGCUCCCUUGUUUAUGUUCUCACUGCACAGAUUCCCUGUCUUGGAAAGAUGACCAAUUGAUGUUAUUUGAUGGUAUUGUCAAACUUCAGUCUAUCAGCCCAUCUCACCUUGAACGUUACCGUUGACCUUGUCCUGUUUUCAAGUUUAGGCUCCUUAGAUUUCUUGAGUCUAGGAGGAAAUAAAAGUUGGAACAUAUGUUGCAGUGUACGUAAUGCCCUGCCAUUUUAGAGCACUUGCUUGCUGCCUUUGGGACAAAUUCUGCCACUGUAGAGCCACAAUUAACUCUGGACAUCAGAAUGGGGAGCCCCGCAUUUACAGUAAAAUCUGCACCAACUUUUGUUUUAAGCAACCAAUUUAAUGUAUUCAUGUGUAGAGUUUCAGGUACAUAUUUGUUUGACCUUGAGGUUGGUUAUAAUAGACCUCCAGUUGAUGAUCUCUUGCAUCAUCAAUCAAAAGUCUUAAACUAAGGCAUUUCAUUGUAUUCCAAACUAACUGAAUUCUGUUUAGUAAGGAUCUGAUUAUUCGCACAAUACCUGUUUAACUUUUCUCACCAUUUUUAAAGAUGUUUAUCAGGUUGUCAGAUUACUGGCUUCUUUGCCAUGUUCUUCGAAAGGCCUUUUCUCAGAAUUCUACAAGGUUAAUUAACUGACAAUAAUACUUGGAGGGAGGAGGGGGGAAGGCAUUUGUUACAGCAGAAGAGCAGAGUGUAACCAAUUUCCCCAUCCUUUAUACCCUACUUAUAUUUGAAAUAUAAAAUAUUUUUCUGUCUUCCACGGUGGUAGUCAUUGCCAAGAGAAAACAUCAGAAAGGUAACUGUGGUUUCUAAAAUUCUGGGUGCUCACACUAAGGAAAAUGUGUUUUGUCCAAUUACCAAAAUGUCUUUAUCUUAAGGGACUUGUUUUUGAUUGAAGAGUUAGAACAUUGUAUGCUUGUGUGUAAUUUUAAGUUAAGAUCAUGAACUUUUUUAAAGAAAUUGCAAAAAUAACAUUUUCUAACUUAAGUCCUAUAAAAGCUUAAUUGAAAAGGCCUUACUCGUUAAUGAGCUCUUGAAAGAGAUGGAUGCUGCUUUUCAAGAAGACGCAUAUCAUCCUACAGAAUGUGAUUGGUGUCUAGGCUGAUACAUUGUAUCCUUUUUUGUGUCUGUCAUUGAGAAGGAUUUCAGACAUGGGCUCUCUGAAUAAGGGCCUCAUGGAACUGGAAUCCUGGAAGUCCCGUUUUCAGUUUCUCUGUGGCUUGUCUCAUACAGGAUAGGGGGAAAUCCCAUUUUAAAAUUCAUUGUGAUUAUUGUGCUACAACUGUAAUGUGCUCCCAGUCCAUUUCAGAGGCUGACCACAACAGCCAAACAAUUAUGAAAAUGCUGAUGCUGUCUAAGAAACCAGCUUUGUUAAGGAGGUCAGUCUUCUGUAUCGCAUUGUAAUCAAGACCCUUCAGGACUGCAUGCAUGUGUAUGGUCAAUGCAUUUCUUGUUCUCUAAGCAUUGUUCUCUGCUAAGAGGAAAACACUGUGCAAUAAGUAAGAGUUAAUAAUAAUGUUUCAUUAUCAUUGUCAGCUAAAAGUGUCUGUGGAAAACAGUAAUGUUGAAAGGAUCUGAAAUGAUCACUGUAGCGUACCUAAAGAGCUCCUGAAGUUACAUCCUAUAGAUCUUUAGUUUGUGUUUUCAAAUUACUAUCAUGAUGUGAGUGUGUAUGUAUGUGUCUCACAGGAUUUGUGAGCAGUGCAUGGUUCUCUGACAUUUGUAUUCAACUCUGUCCUGAAUAACAAUUAAAGAGAGAAAAUCUUA